AUUGAACGCUGGCGGCAGGCCUAACACAUGCAAGUCGAGCGAGCGGCGGACGGGUGAGUAAUGUAUGGGGACUGCCCGAUAGAGGGGGAUAACUACUGGAAACGGUGGCUAAUACCGCAUACUAUCGGAUAACCCAGAUGGGAUUAGCUAGUAGGUGGGGUAACGGCUCACCUAGGCGACGAGCCCUAGCUGGUCUGAGAGGAUGAUCAGCCAAACUGGGACUGAGACACGGCCCCAACUCCUACGGGGGCAGCAGGGGGGAAUAUUGCACAAUGGGCGCAAGCCUGAUGCAUCCAAGCCGCGUGUAUUAAGAAGGCCUUAGGGUUGUAAAGUACUUUCAGCGGGGAGGCGUUACCCGCAGAAGAAGCACCGGCUAACUCCGUGCCAGCAGCCGCGGUAAUUC
rnacentral:rRNA from 1 species